rnacentral:lncRNA from 1 species
CGCCAGAGAGACCAGCGGUUCCAAAGGACAUGGCUGCCAGAUGAUUCGCAGCCUACCGCAAGCAGAUACGCGGUAUUAUGACCCUGCCACAGAAAAAAUAUGGUCAUAGCUCAUGGUUGACGAAAAGAAUUUAAGAAUGAAAGAAAUUAAAAUUUAGAAAGAAACUUGAAUUUUCGAAAAAGAAAUAAAUUUGGCAUGAAUUAUGUUGCAUAAUUGAAAUUGAUUUUAAAUUGAUGAACUCUGUAUACUUAUUUUCUAUAAAUAAUGAUUUACUUAAAUGCCUGAUGAAAUCUAUUGAAAAGUGAUCAUUGCUUACUGGGCUGUCUAGCUCAUUACCUCCUAUUUUAUUGUUUUUACAGAUGUUGAGGAAUUAAGAUGAUACAAGAUAUGAAUGGAAGAGUGAUCAGAAGCAGAAUCUUCAUACUUUUAUUUUGGGUUGAAAGGCUUAUUGAAUUUGAUGCAAAGUCUUUGAAUUGUUGUUGAAUUUAUUGAGAUAUUAAAGAAAAAAAUUUAGGUCGUUAUAUUUUAGAUUUAAAUUGUUGACUAAUUAUUCCGCUGUUGUUUUAGGAUAGUAAGAUAAGAUGCCUUGCAUGCUUAUGGAAAGAGUUUUCUAUGAGUAUGCGGUGGUUGCCAUGACCCUCGAUUCAAAAUCUCGGGUCGGGGG